rnacentral:rRNA from 1 species
UGGGGAAUUUUGGACAAUGGGGGAAACCCUGAUCCAGCCAUCCCGCGUGUGCGAUGAAGGCCUUCGGGUUGUAAAGCACUUUUGGCAGGAAAGAAACGUCAUGGGUUAAUACCCCGUGAAACUGACGGUACCUGCAGAAUAAGCACCGGCUAACUACGUGCCAGCAGCCGCGGUAAUACGUAGGGUGCAAGCGUUAAUCGGAAUUACUGGGCGUAAAGCGUGCGCAGGCGGUUCGGAAAGAAAGAUGUGAAAUCCCAGGGCUCAACUUUGGAACUGCAUUUUUAACUACCGGGCUAGAGUGUGUCAGAGGGGGGUGGAAUUCCGCGUGUAGCAGUGAAAUGCGUAGAUAUGCGGAGGAACACCGAUGGCGAAGGCAGCCUCCUGGGAUAACACUGACGCUCAUGCACGAAAGCGUGGGGAGCAAACAGG